rnacentral:rRNA from 1 species
UCCAGACUCCUACGGGAGGCAGCAGUGGGGAAUAUUGCACAAUGGGGGAAACCCUGAUGCAGCGACGCCGCGUGAGUGAAGAAGUAUUUCGGUAUGUAAAGCUCUAUCAGCAGGGAAGAUAAUGACGGUACCUGACUAAGAAGCCCCGGCUAACUACGUGCCAGCAGCCGCGGUAAUACGUAGGGGGCAAGCGUUAUCCGGAUUUACUGGGUGUAAAGGGUGCGCAGGUGGCAGGGCAAGUCAGAUGUGAAAGCCCGGGGCUCAACCCCGGUAUUGCAUUUGAAACUGUCCGGCUAGAGUGCAGGAGAGGUAAGCGGAAUUCCUAGUGUAGCGGUGAAAUGCGUAGAUAUUAGGAGGAACACCAGUGGCGAAGGCGGCUUACUGGACUGUAACUGACACUGAGGCACGAAAGCGUGGGGAGCAAACAGGAUUAGAUACCCGAGUAGA